AUGAACGCUGGCGGCGUGCCUAACACAUGCAAGUCGAACGAUGAAACCGCCCUCGGGCGGACAUGAAGUGGCGAACGGGUGAGUAACACGUGACCAACCUGCCCCUUGCUCCGGGACAACCUUGGGAAACCGAGGCUAAUACCGGAUACUCCUCGCCCCCCUCCUGGGGGGCCCGGGAAAGCCCAGACGGCAAGGGAUGGGGUCGCGGCCCAUUAGGUAGUAGGCGGGGUAACGGCCCACCUAGCCCGCGAUGGGUAGCCGGGUUGAGAGACCGACCGGCCACAUUGGGACUGAGAUACGGCCCAGACUCCUACGGGAGGCAGCAGUGGGGAAUUUUGCGCAAUGGGGGAAACCCUGACGCAGCAACGCCGCGUGCGGGACGACGGCCUUCGGGUUGUAAACCGCUUUCAGCAGGGAAGAAAUUCGACGGUACCUGCAGAAGAAGCUCCGGCUAACUACGUGCCAGCAGCCGCGGUAAUACGUAGGGAGCGAGCGUUAUCCGGAAUCAUUGGGCGUAAAGAGCGCGUAGGCGGCCUCUCAAGCGGGAUCUCUAAUCCGAGGGCUCAACCCCCGGCCGGAUCCCGAACUGGGAGGCUCGAGUUCGGUAGAGGCAGGCGGAAUUCCCGGUGUAGCGGUGGAAUGCGCAGAUAUCGGGAAGAACACCGAUGGCGAAGGCAGCCUGCUGGGCCGCAACUGACGCUGAGGCGCGAAAGCUAGGGGAGCGAACAGGAUUAGAUACCCUGGUAGUCCUAGCCGUAAACGAUGGAUACUAGGUGUGGGGGGCUCCGCCCUCCGUGCCGCAGCCAACGCAUUAAGUAUCCCGCCUGGGGAGUACGGCCGCAAGGCUAAAACUCAAAGGAAUUGACGGGGGCCCGCACAAGCAGCGGAGCAUGUGGCUUAAUUCGAAGCAACGCGAAGAACCUUACCAGGGCUUGACAUGGACGUGAAGCCGGGGAAACCCGGUGGCCGAGAGGAGCGUCCGCAGGUGGUGCAUGGCUGUCGUCAGCUCGUGUCGUGAGAUGUUGGGUUAAGUCCCGCAACGAGCGCAACCCUUAUUGCCAGUUACUACGUUAAGAGGACUCUGGCGAGACUGCCGUUGACAAAACGGAGGAAGGUGGGGAUGACGUCAAAUCAUCAUGCCCUUUAUGACCUGGGCUACACACGUGCUACAAUGGCGUAAACAAAGAGAAGCGAAGUCGUGAGGCAGAGCGAAUCUCAAAAAUAACGUCUCAGUUCGGAUUGUAGUCUGCAACUCGACUACAUGAAGCUGGAAUCGCUAGUAAUCGCGAAUCAGAAUGUCGCGGUGAAUACGUUCCCGGGCCUUGUACACACCGCCCGUCACACCAUGAGAGUUGGGAAUACCCGAAGCCUGUGAGCCAACUGUAAAGAGGCAGCAGUCGAAGGUAGAAUCAAUGAUUGGGGUG
rnacentral:rRNA from 1 species